UGGUGAAAGUACACACUGGGUGCUUCAAAUCAUUCAGACGAGAUGCUGUUUUUAGGGCAGUUUAUUAAAGAAGACCUGACAUGGAUGACUUCCAAUGAGAAACGACUGCUAAUACUUAUAUAAAUUCAUUACAGAAGGACCCUACCAGACUAUAUUUGAAUACGGCAUACCCAUGAAUUCUGGAACUGUUAUUCCUUAACCCAGUUUGGAGGAUAAGAGCUUACCAACUAGUUAUAAAUAUGCUGAGGUGAUGUAUUGCAAAAUAGCCAACAUACAACAAUUAAAGGAUAAUUGCAGACUACAUCCUGAUGAAGAUAUGGAUGACCCUCUGUCUGGUCAACAGGAGUUUAAAUAUGGACGGGACAGUUAUAUGGCAGCUCUUCCCUGGCUCAUUCACCUCUUGCCUUCAUUUGUGAAAGGAAGAAAGACUGGAGAGGGUCAAUGUGCAACUGAAGCUACUGAUUGUGCGGUGUGAUGAGCAUCAAUCCAUGCUUUGAGGGGGAUGAAUCAGCACAGCCCUGCCUGCACUGCCUUGGGAACAGAAGUUGCAUCCAGAAUUUUUGCAUCAUUCUGGACCAAAAAGCCAUUCCCUCCAUGAUGAAGACCACUGAUGCAGCCUUCCACUACAUCAUGAGUAAAACAACUACAGAACUAAAUACCAGGUUGGAACGUAUUUAAGAAAAAUGAAACGUCUUUUGAAUUGAAAUGUCUGUUUUGUUAUGGAAAAAUCUUUAGUAUUGUUAAGGAUAAGCAUUUCUGCCUCCCAGUAAGGUAAUUGCAGUGUAUUUUAAUGUUCAAGUUUUGAGUAGGGUGGCUAAUUUUUUUAAAACUCAUUUGAUUUAUUAAAGACCUUAUAAUAAGUGGUUUUCAUGUCACUGCGCUGUGGUAUAAGAUAACUUUCAUUAUUCCAUACUGUAUUCUGCUUCUAAUUGUAGCUGAGGUAUUUAAAUAAGCAGUGUUAAAUGCAAAGUGUUGUGUGUAUCAAUGUAAAUAUUAAAUGUGAUGUACUUUAAUAAAAUGAGGUUUU